UGAUUGGUCGAUCAAGCAAUACAAAAUUUGCUGUGCGUGAGGUGAGAUUGCGUACGGAUGAAUUUUGAUCGGUUUUUUUAAAAGAGACCGAUUCGGUUAGUAUUAAUUUGUUCAAUUAUCGCAAAAAUCUGCGUAUUGCUGGAGAAUAAUUAUCUGCUUUGAAUCAAUUUACGAGUGCAUUGUUCAAAUACUUUUAUUAAUUGAUAUAUAUAUAGGUAUAUUGUAGAACAAAAGUAAAUGCAAACGCGUAAUGCAAACAAUUACUAUCAUAUGACUUAAAAUGCAGUCAUCUAAUGUGAAAAAGUCAUGGAUACAAAGGAAUCCUACCUACUCUAUCAUGAUACCACUAAUCAUAGGACUUCACAUAGGUUGGUUUUCACUGCAACAACAUUAUGUACCGAUGACUGAAAGACACGACCAUCCUCUAACUAAAUUGUAUAAGAAAUAUAUUACGUAAGAAUGUAAUAUAUAUGAAUCCUGUUUGUUGUUAUUUAUAAUGUCGUUUAUUUUUCUCUUUAAAUUAUAUUGUUAAAUAAUAGAUUUGUUCGUUUUUCCGCUAUUGUUUCCUCCAAGAUUUAGGUACUUCCAUUAUGGAACAUUCUGUAGCUGAAGCAGCAAUGUUACCUGUCUUUUGCUUGCAGAAUAUGAUAUAAAAUAAAUUUCUCUUAUUUUAUACAAAACUUUUAUUGUAAGAGAUAUACAUAUGAAUUGCACAAAUUACUUCUAUUUAUAAACAAAUCAAAAUCUAAAAGAAGUCUUUAAACUUCAUAAAGAAAAAUGUGGGAAUACAAAUAAAAAGAUAAUAACAAUCAUUUUCAUAGAAUUCUAUAAAUUAACGUAAACAUCCUUAAAAAACUUAGGAAAAUAUAUGUACAAUCACAGAAUUAACCUCUUAUAGUAGGUAGAUGGUCAAAAUUUUGUUGAUGUAUAGAGGAGCUCUUCGGCCGAUUUUCACUGUGGCUAUGAAUAGAAGGACCAGCCUUGGGUAACUGGGGUAACACCAUUUGACUGUAAUUAGUAUUCUGUAAACAUGAGAGAACACACGUUAUCUCAAUCUCCUUUUCCUCCAUAAAUUAUUCGCAAGAUGUUCAGUAAUAUGUAAUAAAUCUGUCGCUUGUCGACAAAUCUUA